rnacentral:rRNA from 1 species
GACGAACGUUGGCGGCGUGCUUAAUACAUGCAAGUCAACUGAAGUAGUGGUAGCAAUAUCGCUGUGGAGGUGGCGCACGGGUGAGUAACACGUAGGUAAUCUGCCUUCAGGUCUGGCAUAACUCCGGGAAACCGGGGCUAAUAGCAGAUGAUGCAGCGGCUCGACAUCGAGACAGUUGUUAAAGCUAUGGCGCCUGAAGAUGAGCCUGCGUCUGAUUAGCUAGUUGGCGGGGUAACGGCCCACCAAGGCAACGAUCAGUAGCUGGUCUGAGAGGAUGAUCAGCCACACUGGAACUGAGACACGGUCCAGACUCCUACGGGAGGCAGCAGUAAGGAAUAUUGCUCAAUGGGAGAAAUCCUGAAGCAGCAACGCCGCGUGAGGGACGAAGGGCUUUUGCUUGUAAACCUCUGUAGUGAGAGAAAAAAAUCCCAAUCUUUGGGACAUGAUGGUAUCUCAAAAGUAAGCCCCGGCUAACUACGUG